UGGGGAAUAUUGGACAAUUGGCGAAAGCCUGAUCCAGCAAUGCCGCGUGAGUGAUGAAGGCCUUAGGGUUGUAAAGCUCUUUUACCAGGGAUGAUAAUGACAGUACCUGGAGAAUAAGCUCCGGCUAACUCCGUGCCAGCAGCCGCGGUAAUACGGAGGGAGCUAGCGUUGUUCGGAAUUACUGGGCGUAAAGCGCGCGUAGGCGGCUUUUCAAGUCAGAGGUGAAAUCCCGGGGCUCAACCCCGGAACUGCCUUUGAAACUGAAUUGCUAGAAUCUUGGAGAGGCGAGUGGAAUUCCGAGUGUAGAGGUGAAAUUCGUAGAUAUUCGGAAGAACACCAGUGGCGAAGGCGACUCGCUGGACAAGUAUUGACGCUGAGGUGCGAAAGCGUGGGGAGCAAACAGGAUUAGAUACCCCUGUAGUCC
rnacentral:rRNA from 1 species